GAUGAACGCUGGCGGCGUGCCUAAUACAUGCAAGUCGAGCGAACAGAUGAGGAGCUUGCUCCUCUGACGUUAGCGGCGGACGGGUGAGUAACACGUGGAUAACCUACCUAUAAGACUGGGAUAACUUCGGGAAACCGGAGCUAAUACCGGAUAAUAUAUUGAACCGCAUGGUUCAAUAGUGAAAGACGGUUUUGCUGUCACUUAUAGAUGGAUCCGCGCCGCAUUAGCUAGUUGGUAAGGUAACGGCCUACCAAGGCAACGAUGCGUAGCCGACCUGAGAGGGUGAUCGGCCACACUGGAACUGAGACACGGUCCAGACUCCUACGGGAGGCAGCAGUAGGGAAUCUUCCGCAAUGGGCGAAAGCCUGACGGAGCAACGCCGCGUGAGUGAUGAAGGUCUUCGGAUCGUAAAACUCUGUUAUUAGGGAAGAACAAAAGUGUAUGUAACUAUGCACGUCUUGACGGUACCUAAACAGAAAGCCCCGGCUAACUACGUG
rnacentral:rRNA from 1 species